UGACUCUGGUGGUCGGCUUUUCGCAUCCAGGUCUUCCGUCACCAACCACUGCUCAGACUUCAGGACCUUGGUGGAGGACAGGGCGUUCCCGGGCCAUCCAUUAGCAUUUAUCACGUUCCUCCCAUGUGCCCGGGGCUGUGUCACGUGCCAGCAUGGGGAGCGGGAAGAAAAUGCCAGGCCUCACUGUGCGGGGCAAGUCAAGGGAAAAAUCCUGGAUUCAGCCGCACAAGCGGAGGGGCAGGAGGAAGACCUAUCAUAGCCUCCUCUUAUGAAACCUUUUGUGCUGGGCCACUCCUGUACCCACGUGAUCUCACCUGAUCCUUACAACAGCCUUUCGAGUCUGGCACCCUUGGAUUCCCAGUUACAGAUGAGGACACAGGGGUCCAGAGAGGCUGAGACUUGCCUGGGGCCACACAGCAAGUCAGGCAUGGGGAUAGCAAGGACACCAGGCAGCUUGCCCUGCGGCCCAAACCCUCGUCUUUGUCCAGCCACUAGAGGAACGAGGAUAAAGAUGGUGAAAAAUGGGGACUCAGGCCUCGGGGAGCUGUGUCUCUGCUCAGCGGAGCAGGAAGGGAUGGUCCUGAGGGGAACUCACAGAGCAACUGGCUCCCCCACCUUGUCCUGCUGCCGGGUGUCCUGGGACAAGGCUACCACCCAGCGGCCACCCAGCCAGGAUCCAGCCCAGUUUGGAGACAGGCAGGACAAGAGCGUCAGGUGCCAGUUGUGUCGAGGAGAGACCCUGUGAGAGAGGCUGUGGGAAAAGCACAGUGCCUGGCACAAAGGGAGAGGUCUGAGUAAAAGUCAAGGUGGCUUCCUGGAGGAGGCCACUGUGCUCUCCGGCGGCAGGAGAAGCAGGAAUAGAAGGAGUUUCCGGAAAAGGAAGAGGGAGAAGCUGUGUUCAGCGCCUGCGCCGUGUGUGGAGUGCAAACUGUCUGCAGGAGCCGAAUCAUUGAAUCUUCCAGCAAUCCUGUACUCCAGCCAUCCCCAUUUUACAGAUGAGAAAACUGAGGCUGGGGGUGGAAAUAAUUUAUUCACUCAGGGAGUAAAAGCUGGAGCCAGAAUUUAAACCCAGCUGGCAAUGAUGCCCCCCUUCCCUCCCUCCUCGGGUCUUUACGGCAUCCUCAUGGUGUGCUGGAUUCACAGAGGUAAAGUGAACCCAGCAUCAACCCUCAAGGAGCACCCCCCUUACAUCUCUGUCUUCCCCCCACCUUGACCACCACCCACGUUGCCCCUUCCGGGCCUCAGUUUCCCUCCUCUGAGCAAUGGGUUCAGUUUCUGCCACCCCUUCUGGCCCAGGGUCCCCAACUCAGGGCGGUGUGGAGGUGUGGCAGCUGAGGCGGCUAGUGAGGUGGGGGUCCUCCACCUGCUGCCACCCCCCAGUCCCCCAUGAACCUGCUCGCCAGGCUGGAGCCAGCCGCCAUCUGGAGCGACGGGCUGUUUAUGGAGCCAGGCGGCGGCGGCCCUGGCCCUGACCCGGCCAAUCUGGAAGUGAUUA